CAAUCCCAAUCACCUUCAAUCCAAGAAUCUUACCAAUCUGUCCCACAUGAGAGCCAACUGCACCAGCUGCGCCACUUACUACAAGUGUUUCCCCAGCUUUAGGCUGACAGAUUUCGACUAAUCCAAAAUAGAGGUUGAUAUCAAUCUUACCCUGGCCUGCCCAAUACUCCGAGACCUAAAGACGCGGGUAGAGUAUCAAGAUCAGGCAAUAUAUAUGGUGGCUGACCAAGGUGCUCCUUCAAAUUUGGAUCAAUGAUGGUGUGUGUACGCCAGCCCACAUUAGCAACAACUCGUUUACCAACUGGAUAGUUUUUAUUUUUAGACGCUAUUAUCUUACCAAUUUGACGUCCAAUCAUCGUAAUUCCCACUGGGUACCGUUGUGCGUACACCCUCAUGUACGGAUCAACAGAUAAGUACUCAGCUUGGAUGAGAUAUUCUAAAAAUGAUUUUUAUGUGAAUUGUAAUACUAAACCAUGAAAUUUGUAUGCACGAGGCAACAAAUGAUCUUAGGUAAUUUCAAAUAUGUUGACAAGCAUGUUCAAUGAGUCAAUGAUUCAAUUGAGUUAAAUAGCAUAUUCAAAUUUCAGAGUUGAAUAGUCAAUAAAUUAUUCCACUUGCCACUGCA